rnacentral:rRNA from 1 species
GAUGAACGCUGGCGGCGUGCCUAAUACAUGCAAGUCGAGCGAACAGACGAGGAGCUUGCUCCUCUGACGUUAGCGGCGGACGGGUGAGUAACACGUGGAUAACCUACCUAUAAGACUGGGAUAACUUCGGGAAACCGGAGCUAAUACCGGAUAACAUGUUGAACCGCAUGGUUCAACAGUGAAAGACGGUCUUGCUGUCACUUAUAGAUGGAUCCGCGCCGCAUUAGCUAGUUGGUAAGGUAACGGCUUACCAAGGCAACGAUGCGUAGCCGACCUGAGAGGGUGAUCGGCCACACUGGAACUGAGACACGGUCCAGACUCCUACGGGAGGCAGCAGUAGGGAAUCUUCCGCAAUGGGCGAAAGCCUGACGGAGCAACGCCGCGUGAGUGAUGAAGGUCUUCGGAUCGGAAAACUCUGUUAUUAGGGAAGAACAAAUGUGUAAGUAACUAUGCACGUCUUGACGGUACCUAAUCAGAAAGCCACGGCUAACUACG